rnacentral:rRNA from 1 species
UACGAAGGGGGCUAGCGUUGCUCGGAAUUACUGGGCGUAAAGGGCGCGUAGGCGGAUACUUAAGUCGGGGGUGAAAGCCCGGGGCUCAACCUCGGAAUUGCCUUCGAUACUGGAUAUCUUGAGUUCGGGAGAGGUAAGUGGAACUCCGAGUGUAGAGGUGAAAUUCGUAGAUAUUCGGAAGAACACCAGUGGCGAAGGCGACUUACUGGCCCGAUACUGACGCUGAAACACGAAAGCGUGGGGAGCAAACAGG